CCAGCAGCCGCGGUAAGACGUAGGGGGCGAGCGUUGUCCGGAUUUAUUGGGCGUAAAGAGCUCGUAGGCGGCUCAGAAAGUCGGGUGUGAAACCUCCAGGCUCAACCUGGAGACGCCACCUGAUACUGCUGUGGCUAGAGUCCGGUAGGGGAACACGGAAUUCCCGGUGUAGCGGUGAAAUGCUUAGAUAUCGGGAGGAACACCAGUGGCGAAGGCGGUGUUCUGGGCCGGAACUGACGCUGAGGAGCGAAAGCGUGGGUAGCAAACAGGAUUAGAUACCCUGGUAGUCCACGCCGUAAACGUUGGGCACUAGGUGUGGGACCCUAUCGACGGGUUCCGUGCCGUAGCUAACGCAUUAAGUGCCCCGCCUGGGGAGUACGGCCGCAAGGCUAAAACUCGAAGGAAUUGACGGGGGCCCGCACAAGCGGCGGAGCAUGUUGCUUAAUUCGAUGCAACGCGAAGAACCUUACCUAGGCUUGACAUGUAGCGAAAAGCCGUAGAGAUACGGUGUCCUUCGGGGCGCUACACAGGUGGUGCAUGGUUGUCGUCAGCUCGUGUCGUGAGAUGUUGGGUUAAGUCCCGCAACGAGCGCAACCCUUGUCCUAUGUUGCCAGCGGAUAAUGCCGGGGACUCGUAGGAGACUGCCGGGGUCAACUCGGAGGAAGGUGGGGAUGACGUCAAAUCAUCAUGCCCCUUACGUCUAGGGCUGCAAACAUGCUACAAUGGCCGGUACAAAGGGCUGCUAUUCCGCGAGGAUGAGCGAAUCCCAAAAAGCCGGUCUCAGUUCGGAUUGGAGUCUGCAACUCGACUCCAUGAAGUCGGAGUCGCUAGUAAUCCCGGAUCAGCACUGCCGGGGUGAAUACGUUCCCGGGCCUUGUACACACCGCCCGUCACACCACGAAAGUUGGCAACACCCGAAGCCAGUGGCCCAACCGCAAGGAGGGAGCUGUCGAAGGUGGGGUCAGCGAUUGGGGUGAAGUCGUAACAAGGUAACCAAG
rnacentral:rRNA from 1 species